UAGUAGGCUACCGUUUUAAAGUCAGACAGAAAGAGAGGAAGGGAAAAGAACUUCCUUUUCUUUCUCAAGGAGACGUCAGGCUGCACCAUCAUUUCCUCCUUUAGGUUGAGCAGGGAAAGAUGAGCUUAAAGGACCUCUCUGGGUAACUCACCUUUAACGGCCUAAAGUUUGCUCUCCCUGAAGGGAGACAGCCCAAAGAAGAUAAUGCAUUGAUGGCCUGAUUGUGUUUCUACCACGACUUGCAACCCAAGAUGCAGCCCAGCCUCUGAAAAGCCCAUUGUUCCAUGCAGCGAUGUUAUAACUCUCUGUAAACGGGGCAGUCCAGGGCACCCAGCGCUGCCCGCUCCACCCCACUGGUGACCUGCAGGGACAGCUGAAUGCCUUCUGGUCCGCUGAGCCCAGAGGAGUGGGGCUGGGCUUUCAGAAACAGCAGGGCUGAUUCAUCGAGAACAAAAGCCAGCUCUUCCUGCUAAAUCCCUGGCCAUCAAGGGCGGCGAGGCCAGCAGGCCCCUGCGCCCCUCCGCAGAAACUCCUUCUUCAUCCAGCUACCAUGGUGGGGCUCCACGGCAGGAGAGCCAGCUUCCUGCUGCCCCGUCCCUUCAGCCUGGCCUGCUCUCAGACCCCCCCGGGAAGCAGUGGCUUGGGAGUGAAAUCUGGAUUCUCUCCUGGUCCUGCCAUUUCCCAGCGGUGCAAUGAAAAUGAGGAGCUUCACUUCUCUGAGCCUCAGUUUCUCCAUCUGUGAACUGGGAGUGAAAAUAGUUCCGGAAGGAGAUAAUGCCCAGAACAGGAACCUAUGGCUAUUUGUCCUCUUGCUAUCUGGCGUCAUCUUUCAUAAUUCAGUCUGGUACCUUGCAUUCCAGACACGUUGGCACAAGCUCACCCAUCUUAGCUCCUCCACAUCAUUACCUGUAGGCUUCCCAGAAUGAUACCAGCUUCUGUUUACAGAGGCCCUGCUAUGCCCCAGGCCUUGCAGCUAGCAGUUAACAUGGAUAUUCCACUUCAUUUUCCCACCACUCUUUGAGGUGGACAGUGAUCAAAUAAAGAAACUGGGGCACAAAGAGGUAUAUUCCAAGGUCCAGCUCAUCUCCUUCUUUGAAGUCUUCUCGGAUCCUGUCCCCAGCCUCUCCUCCCAUGCCCACCCUGAGCUUCCUCUUUCUUAGUUCCUGUAACACCCUACUGUAAUUAUGCGUUUCCUUGGCCACAGGCCCUGCAAAGGUUGAGUCUAUGACUGAUUCAUCUCUAUGCCCAUUGCCCAAGGCACAGGGCUUGUACACAGAAAAACAGUAAGUAAAUAAUAAAUAAGGAAAAAACCCAGAAACAUGAACUUCCUG